rnacentral:rRNA from 1 species
ACGGUGAGUAACACGUAUCCAACCUGCCGUCUACUCUUGGACAGCCUUCUGAAAGGAAGAUUAAUACAAGAUGGCAUCAUGAGUCCGCAUGUUCACAUGAUUAAAGGUAUUCCGGUAGACGAUGGGGAUGCGUUCCAUUAGAUAGUAGGCGGGGUAACGGCCCACCUAGUCUACGAUGGAUAGGGGUUCUGAGAGGAAGGUCCCCCACAUUGGAACUGAGACACGGUCCAA